rnacentral:ncRNA from 2 species
UUCUUAUCAAGAGUAGGUGGAGGGACUAGCCCUAUGACACCCGGCAACCGACAAACCUUUGCAAAAAGGGGAGCACGGUGCUAAUUCUUGCGGAAACGCUGUUUACAGCGAAUCUGGGAGAUAAGAG